UAGAGACUUUUUGUUGUCCUGCUAAACAAUUGGGAGACAGCUCAAACUAUUGCAAAUCAUCCAUGAAUCUACCAAUAGGUACUCAGUGUCUCAGGUGGGUGCUUUUUCCUGGUUCUGCAUCCUCCAGGUCUUGCCACAGGCCUGAACUUCAUCAUCUCUCCAUCUCAUUCUAGGGGGCACACUGUGCUUAUGACUUGGCUAGAAGCCCCACGUUCCUUUAGGGCAUGGUGAUGUCCUGCUGGAGAUUGCAGAGUAGUGGGAGGAAACAGCUUCCCAAGGGGCUACAAAUACGGAAAGUUCAUCCCUCCUAAUCCUGACAACAUUCUGCCUUGUAGCCGUGUGUUGAGCCUCUCUGCAUCCUCUCAUCCUCCCUAAGUCAUGAAGAUACUUCACCUGUUCUGGGCUGCCCUGUGUGUGCUGCUGCUGGCUUUUUCAGGAUUUGCCAAGGAAAGACCAGAGGGCAGCAAGGGUUGCGAUAAAAGGAGUUGCACCCACAAUGGUUAAGAUUGGAAGUUGUGGAAAUGUGAAGGGAUGUUGCAAAAGGCAAACUCAAGAACUGAUCACUGCUUGAUUACCCUGGAUCCCUUGAAAAAUCAGAGGUGUUCCCUCACUAUGAGAGUCACUGGAUCCUGUUUGAUGUCCAGCUAGAGUCUCCUUCUUCUUCAACCACAUCAAAACAAGUCCUUCUAACAUUUUCAGUGAUUAUAUGAGCUUGUCUCUUGGAAUAAAAGCAAAUUAAAA